GCCUGAAGAGCUUGGCCAUCUUCCAGUGCUGGAGAGAAUGCAAAUUGAUGAGAACAAUAUUACAGGACCCAUACCACUAUCAUUUGCAAACCUGAACAGCACACAACACUUCCACAUGAACAACAAUUCACUUAGUGGACAAAUCCCAGCACAGCUUUCAAAAUUAGGAAGCCUUAUUCACCUUCUUCUUGACAACAAUAACUUGACAGGAAAUCUCCCAUCCGAGCUCUCUGAGAUGCCAAGC